GAUGAACGCUAGCUACAGGCUUAACACAUGCAAGUCGCGGGGCAGCAUGGGGGUUGCUUGCAACUCCCGAUGGCGACCGGCGCACGGGUGAGUAACGCGUAUCCAACCUGCCCUUCACCACGGGAUAACCCGGCGAAAGUCGGACUAAUACCGUAUGUUGUCCAUUGACGGCAUCCGAUUUGGACGAAAGGCUUUGCGGUGAAGGAUGGGGAUGCGUCCGAUUAGCCAGACGGCGGGGUAACGGCCCACCGUGGCUACGAUCGGUAGGGGUUCUGAGAGGAAGGUCCCCCACACUGGAACUGAGACACGGUCCAGACUCCUACGGGAGGCAGCAGUGAGGAAUAUUGGUCAAUGGGCGUAAGCCUGAACCAGCCAAGUAGCGUGCAGGAUGACGGCCCUAUGGGUUGUAAACUGCUUUUAUGCGGGGAUAAAGUGGCCCACGUGUGGGCUUUGGCAGGUACCGCAUGAAUAAAGACCGGCUAAUUCCGU
rnacentral:rRNA from 1 species